GACGAACGCUGGCGGCGUGCUUAACACAUGCAAGUCGAACGGAAAGGCCCUGCUUUUGUGGGGUGUUCGAGUGGCGAACGGGUGAGUAACACGUGAAUAUCCUGCCCUUUACUUUGGGAUAUCUUCAGGAAACUGGUGCUAAUACCGGAUAGGUGCUCCUGCUGCAUGGUGGGGGUUGGAACGUUUCGGCGGUUGGGGAUGGACUCGCGGCUUAUCAGCUUGUUGGUGGGGUAGUGGCUUACCAAGGCUUCGAUGGGUAGCCGGCAUGGGAGGGUAAUCGGCCACAUGGGGACUGAGAGACGGCCCAGAGUCCAACGGGAGGCAGCAGUGGGGAAUAUUGCACAGUGGGCGGAAGCCUGAGGCAGCAGCGCCGCGAGCGUGAUGACGGCCUUCGGGGGGGAAACCGCAGUCACCUGUGACGAAGCGGGAGUGACGGUAAUGGGAAAAGAAGCACCGGCUAACUACGUG
rnacentral:rRNA from 1 species